ACGGAGAGGGACGGCAGCGCGCGAUGGAGCCGAGGACUCCGCAGACCGGUCGGCCGUGCCACCAGUGGUCGGUAUCCGCCGACAUCUGCUUCGGAGGAGGUGGCGGAGUGCGGGCGUCACACAGUUUCACUCCGGCAGGGACCUCGCACAGCGCAGCGGCGGCGGGACGGCAGGGACCCGAGGCGGCGGCAGGGGUGAGGCCUGAUGUGCGGGUUAGUUACGGACCGGACAACUCGGUGCGUCUGCACUGCUCAUGGAGCAGCAGUCCCAGUCUGCACACACUGACACAGCAGCAGCAGCAGCAGCAGCAGCAGCAGGGGCUACGUCAACAAAGUCACCCGCCGAACCACCCUCAGCAGCCGUUCGAGCAGCAGUGGCAGCAGUGCCAGCCACAGAGGCAGCAGCAUUACGGCAGGACGGUCUCAGACAUGGGCCGGCCUCGAGCUCGUCUGGACCGUGACCCGUGCAGCGGCCCUCCCCAGAGGACCUCCACCUGGUCCGCGGCCUCUCCGGGCUGCGACAGAACCUCAGCAGCCGGUCCCCGCGGCGGCAGCAGCCGGGCCAGCAGCACCCAGCAGCAGCACGGCCGCUGCCGCAGCAGCUGCAGCAUCGUCCUGGAGCCGGCCGAGCCGCCGGCUGCGGGCCCGGAGCGGGUGAACGUCAGACGCAGCUACAGCAUACACGGCAAGUCACCAACACCCCGGCCAUCGGAACAAGAACGGCAGAGGCCAAACUCCCUGCAUGGGCUGACUGGGGAGACGUCGAGCAUCGUGCAGUACAGAAGAGGAGAGGGGAGAAGUCAACUGCAGGAAGAGAGGGCAGAUGCAAAUCGUGAUACGGUUCAAAGGACUUGUAACAUGCCAGAUGGAAGACAACGUGAAACGCAAAGGCCUGCCACCCAAGAAACUCAACGGGUCUUAGCAAGAAAAACUGAGGCAUCAGAACAACGUCAGGGUAAUGAACCCCAAAUAAACAAUGACUGUGCUGACAGAAACAAAGGACGCGCAAAACACGGAAGCCCCUCGAAGGCAUCACAAAGCUCCCAACGCAGCAAACCCUCUUCUGAGAGACGUGCUCAUCAAAAUGGCCGAGGCUCUUCGACAAGAUCGCGGUCUCAGGGACGCUCUGAGCACUCCUCCGUCCAGAGGGAGGGCCAAAACUCUUCUCGCCACAGCUCUGGCAACAACAGCUCACACUACUGCCAAGGCUGUGACGGAGCCAGAUCUCACUCACGGGACAGGCGCGGACGCGGGGACCUGGCACACCGUGCCCGGUCGCUCGCUGACAGCCGAAGAGGAGGCGGCCUCUCAGCCGAAUCUCGUCGUCGGACCGUUUCCGAGCACAGCUCUGUCUCCCAGGAGGUGCACGCCAGUGACGGCUCCCCGGAGCGAUUCUCAGAGACGUCGCUAUGCACCUGCCGCAGCAUCCGCCCGCUGCUCUGCGGCGGCUGCGGACGGACCACCAGCACAGGGUCAUCUCGGCCCAACGCCAGGACGAUCCUGGACCGCUUCUACGACCAUCUCCAUUCGCGCUCGAACAAGCCCGCCCAGCCGAGGAUGGGUCAGGCGGUGUACAACAUGAGUCACCCGAUCCAGCCGCCAGCAACAUCGCGGACGUCAUCACAUUCCGGCAGGAGUCGGUGGAGGGAGUCGCGGCAUGCCCGGUACCAGGCUCACGGGAGGACUGUCCACAUAGACGUGUACUGCACUGGUUCAGAGGCAGACGACAGCGGCAGUGAGAGCGGUGACUCUGGAGGCGCCAGCGGCGGCACCUCCACUCCCCAGACCGUGUUCGAGACGGGCCAGUAUCGAGUGAUACACCGCCGCGCGCGUAGGUCCCUACCCCGCGCCCUGCAGCGCCGGCGGAGGGCUGCCAGCGCUGAUCGCGUUCACCAUCACGACUGCCGCGCAGAUCGACUCACACCCACGGCAGCCGAUGAUUCUGACUCGGACGACUCCGACUCGCCGCGUGACCUCACCGUGUCUCCCCGUGAUGUCACUGAGUCUGUGGACAUCAGCUGCUGCGAGUCGGCGGUCACGUGGCGGGACAGUGACUCGGAGUCUUCACCUCAAGACGGCACCAAGACAUGGCGUUCCCCCGACCUCGAACGCCGACUUCUUGGGGGACUCGGAGGUCUAUCUGGUUCUACAGCAUCCGGACAACCUGAAAGUGUUGCAGCUUCCGAAAGCACUGGACGUCCAGAUACUCUUGAAGGGCUCGGGGGCUUUGUGCGACUUGGAGGACGUCGGCCGGCACCGGACCCAGAGUCGUCGACACCCUCGCCGGCCCCGACUGGCUGGUGUGAGCGGCACGACACGGUGCGUGUUCGCACGGCGGCCGAUCCCCCGACCCCGGAGACGGUUCCGCCGUCAGCCCCCUGGCAGAGUCCCGCCGCCUCUGAGCAGACGGUGCCCCACCUGACGGUGACCCCAGUGCAGCCGCCGCGCUCCAACUUCUCCCCGGGCCGGCUGCGGAUUCCGAACGUCUUCCAGCAGUUCCUGGUGCCGUUGCGCCGACCCGGCCACCACGUCGGUCCGCCCAAGAACCCGGCCUGCUCGUGCAGCAGCUGCGUGGCUCACUGCGAGCAGCGCGGCAUGAGGAGCCGAGCGAUGAGCGAGUCGUAUGUGGAGAGCGGCCGGGUGGCGCCGCCGGGCCGGCCCCUGCCGCACACCCUGGAGAGACCGGGCCACCGGCCGCUGCCCGACACCCCUCCGGCACCGACCGAGGGCCGGCCCCCGCUCCGGACAGACCCCGCGCGGCCCGCUGAUAGUGAAGGAGAUGACGCCAGGAGCGGAGGGCGGUCAGCGAACGACCGGGUCAACGGAGGACAGAGCAGAGGAGUGGACGGAGAGAGUGGAGGAGGGUCGACAGAGCGCCAGAGGAUAGCCCUGGAGAAGGUGGCCGCUGCAGCUGAGGACCAAGUAGACUCAAGUCACUCAAGCGACGUUUAAAAGCAGCAGCAGUCUGCCUAACGAUUCGAAUUCACCGUUAGAAGCUCUAACACCAAAUGUAGUGCAGAGUGGUGUUCGAUCUCAAAAGGCUCCGCCGAGGAGCAGUGUUAGUGAGAAUAAUUCAAAUGCCGUCUGCCCUGAGGAGGAUUCGACAUGCUCCAGUCGCCACUCCAGUAGAGGAAUCACACCUGCCUCUUUGCUUCAGCUCAGGCUGCAGGGGUGUCAGGGACUACUGGAAGACUUAUCCGACGGAGACGACAAGUCCCCGGACCGAACAGCAGCCAGAAAACGGAACAGGAGGC
rnacentral:misc_RNA from 1 species